rnacentral:pre_miRNA from 1 species
AAAGUACUCCCUCCGCCCCAAAAUUCUUGUCUUAGAUUUGUCUAGAUACGGAUGUAUCAAGUCACAUUUUAGUAUUAGAUACAUCCGUAUCUAGACAAAUCUAAGACNUCAAGUCACAUUUUAGUAUUAGAUACAUCCGUAUCUAGACAAAUCUAAGACAAGAAAUUUGGGACAGAGGGAGUAGUUG